rnacentral:rRNA from 1 species
AUUGAACGCUGGCGGCAUGCCUUACACAUGCAAGUCGAACGGCAGCACGGGUGCUUGCACCUGGUGGCGAUUGGGGCACGGGUGAGUAAUACAUCGGAACAUGUCCUGUAGUGGGGGAUAGCCCGGCGAAAGCCGGAUUACUACCGCAUACGAACUACGGAUGAAAGCGGGUGACCUUCGGGCCUCGCGCCAUAGGGUUGGCCGAUGGCUGAUUAGCUAGUUGGUGGGGUAAAGGCCUACCAAGGCCACGAUCAGUAGCUGGUCUGAGAGGACGACCAGCCACACUGGGACUGAGACACGGCCCAGACUCCUACGGGAGGCAGCAGUGGGGAAUUUUGGACAAUGGGCGAAAGCCUGAUCCAGCAAUGCCGCGUGUGUGAAGAAGGCCUUCGGGUUGUAAAGCACUGUUGUCCGGAAAGAAAUCCUUGGCCAUAAUACGGUCGGGGGAUGACGGUACCGGAAGAAUAAGCCCCGGCUAACUACGUG